rnacentral:rRNA from 1 species
GAUGAACGCUGGCGGCGUGCCUAAUACAUGCAAGUCGAGCGAACAGACGAGGAGCUUGCUCCUCUGACGUUAGCGGCGGACGGGUGAGUAACACGUGGAUAACCUACCUAUAAGACUGGGAUAACUUCGGGAAACCGGAGCUAAUACCGGAUAAUAUAUUGAACCGCAUGGUUCAAUAGUGAAAGACGGUUUUGCUGUCACUUAUAGAUGGAUCCGCGCCGCAUUAGCUAGUUGGUAAGGUAACGGCUUACCAAGGCGACGAUGCGUAGCCGACCUGAGAGGGUGAUCGGCCACACUGGAACUGAGACACGGUCCAGACUCCUACGGGAGGCAGCAGUAGGGAAUCUUCCGCAAUGGGCGAAAGCCUGACGGAGCAACGCCGCGUGAGUGAUGAAGGUCUUCGGAUCGUAAAACUCUGUUAUUAGGGAAGAACAAAUGUGUAAGUAACUAUGCACGUCUUGACGGUACCUAAUCAGAAAGCCACGGCUAACUACGUU